rnacentral:misc_RNA from 1 species
GUAUUUCAUUGCGUUAAACGCGACAUACAUUCCAUGAGACUUUGUUGUAGUGUGUGUGUAAAGACGCAGAACCACAGCAGGGGGACAGAGCCCACCCAGGCCAUAGAACUACAGAGGGUGCACAGGUGUGAGUGGAUGUGUAAACAGAGCGUGCACAUGCCCUCGUUUUGAAGACCAGCAACAACUCUUGUUGACAAUUCGGUAAUGAUCCUUCCGCAGGUUCACCUACGGAAA